GGUGUAAAGCCAAGGAGGCAGAAAGUGGAAUGAAUCCUAGGCUGGGGUGUUUCCAUGUGUGUGGAAUGGAAGCCCACAGAAGCAAAGGAGUUAAGAGCUUGGGCAGAGUGUCACUAGAGAUUAAAUUCCAUGCUCUAGACUGGAUAGAAAUCAAGAUGGCAGGAGGCUGGUGGAUUGAGAAUGAAACAGGUUGAAAAAUAACCCUAUGAAAGGUCCAUUGAUCGGAUCUUUCAUUAAUUGUAAUUGGAUGGUUCAUUAAUUGUAACAAAUGUACACUGUAGAUAUGUAAGUCCUAGAGUACUUAUUUCAGACAUAUUCACACUACUUUAGAAUGUUAUUUAACAAUAUUAUGUGUGUACCUUGACUCCCAAUUGGAUUACGAGCUUCUGAAGGAAAGUGGAUUAUCUUAAACUUUUUGUGUGUUUUUGGCUGUUAACAUAAAUGUUGGGCCCAAAUGAGAGUGCUCAUAAUUAUCUGUGAAAAGAAUAAGACGACAGAGUACUUAUCUUGAGGAUAAAUAGACAGUAAAUGCUGUGCUGUCUGGACUUUUCUCAACAGGAAAGCUUUGGAAGUGGGCAUUUUUGAUAGUCUCUACUGCAAAUCAUUGAAUGCAGUCAUUGGAAUUCAACUGCAGUGCCAGCACAUUUGAAAGAGGCCUGAUAAAAAUGCAAAGUCUAUGUUGUCUCCAAUGACUUCAGCCAAGUAAAAUAAGCCUAGAGGGGAAAAUAAACCUUUUUCUAAAACUUCACACAGGGAAAAAGUUGCCUAAGUUUUUGAGAAAUGACUAGUAUUUCCAAAAUGGAGUUGGAUUGGGAAUGUGAGAAGCCAAAGGUAACCACUAUGAAAAAUAACGGGGCAAUUGGGAAGCACAGGUUACCUUAAUCAGGCUUGGAAAGGGAGUGAUAGAAAUGUAAAUCUAAAGCUGCCUCUAGAUCCCCUGGCUAAAUAGAAACUCCUAGAAGCAGAAUCAAUUUUUCACUGUUCAAUGAUGACUGCGUUUUCUAUAGGUUGAAAGCACAGAAGUAGGAAAGUUUCAAAGUUCUCAAGAAAUAACAGGUGAAUGAAUUAAAAAUCAUUGCUUUUGCCAACCCACACUCCCUGGCCUCUUUCUUCCCCUAGAGAGAGUUUGGUGUCUCCAUCCCGCUCUGCCUGUCCUGGACACAGUUUGCAAUCCCAGCUACUAAUUAGCUUGUUAUUGUUUCCCAGUUUAGGAAGGAGGAGAGGCAAAGAGAUCCAGGGCUACUGGAGAACAGGCCAGGAUGGGGGCUUUCAUGGGGGACCUCUAGGGAGAGCCUGAAAAGGCAAGAGAGAGGACAUCAAAGAUAAAUUCCUUCUGCUUCAGAAUUUUGCGGAGGGUCUGCUCUACAUCACAUCUUCCUGAGUUGAGGAUUGAAGCAUAUUUAGGGAAUGCUGGACCAAACUGCUGAGAUUGGGACUUUUGUAGGAACUCUGACACUAUUGUCUCCAUCGCAACGGGAGAUAUAGAGACAGGUAACUUUUCUCAAAG
rnacentral:lncRNA from 10 species